UAGCUCAGCGGUAUAAGCACCUGCCUGGUAAGCAUGAAGUCGUGAGUUUGAUUCUCAC
rnacentral:tRNA from 1 species